AACGAACGCUGGCGGCAUGCCUAACACAUGCAAGUCGAACGAUCCCUUCGGGGAUAGUGGCGCACGGGUGCGUAACGCGUGGGAACCUGCCCUUAGGUUCGGAAUAACUCAGAGAAAUUUGAGCUAAUACCGGAUAAUGUCUUCGGACCAAAGAAUUAUCGCCUUUGGAUGGGCCCGCGUUGGAUUAGCUAGUUGGUGGGGUAAAGGCCUACCAAGGCGACGAUCCAUAGCUGGUCUGAGAGGAUGAUCAGCCACACUGGGACUGAGACACGGCCCAGACUCCUACGGGAGGCAGCAGUGGGGAAUAUUGGACAAUGGGCGAAAGCCUGAUCCAGCAAUGCCGCGUGAGUGAUGAAGGCCUUAGGGUUGUAAAGCUCUUUUACCCGGGAUGAUAAUGACAGUACCGGGAGAAUAAGCCCCGGCUAACUCCGUG
rnacentral:rRNA from 1 species